AUGAACUUCCGGAAUACAUAAGUUAUUUCAUCAUUGAAAAUAUAGUUCGAACUGAUAGUUCCGUUGAGCACAUUUUUAUCAUGAAUAUUUGAAAAUUUGUCUUACAUUUAUUAUUCAUUUAUAUCUUCUAGCAAAAAUAUUGCUUUGUAAUAAUUACAAACUAUUUUUUAAAAAUUUAUUAGAAAUAAUGCUUAAAAAUACAAAAAUAAUAAUCAUUGGUGCUGGAGCAGCGGGUAUUUCUGCAGCAGCCAGAUUAAUAGAAAAAGGAUUAGAAAAUAUUAUAAUUCUCGAAGGAAAAGAUCGAAUUGGUGGUAGAAUACAUACAGUAGAAUUUUCUGAUAAUGUUGUAGAAUUAGGAGCACAAUGGGUUCAUGGUGAACAUGGAAAUAUUGUUUUUGAUCUUGCUUCCCCACACAAACUAUUAGAUUCAUCAAAAUGCUUCAAUGAUUUUGAUAGACAUAUAUUUGUUACUGCAAGUGGAGAAAUUCUUUCAAAAAAAGAAAGUGUAGAAGCAUUCAAAAUAUAUUAUGAUAUUUCUGAGAAUAUAUCAGAUUCCAUACAUAAUGCAGAAUCAUAUGGAGAAUAUUUUAUAAAUCAAUUUUAUAAAACAUUUAAUGAAAAUCCGUUUACUAGUCGUGAUAGAGCGGAACAAUUAUUAGAUUGGAUGCACAAAUUUGAUAAUUCUAUUCAAUGCAGUGAUUCAUGGUUUGAUGUUUCUGCAAAAGAAAUUACAAACUAUUGGGCUUGUGAUGGAGAUCUUGUACUUAAUUGGAAAGAUCGUGGUUAUAAAACAUUAUUUGAUUUAUUAUCUCAAAAAAUAUCAACUACCAAGAAUAAUUUUUCUAUAAUAGAAAAAAUAGAAUUUAAUAAAAAUGUUGAUAAUAUUAAUUAUAUUUCAAAUGAUAAUAUAGUUGUAAAAACGACAGAUAAUUCAAAAUAUAUGGCAUCUCAUGUUAUAUUUACUGCGUCUCUUGGUGUUCUAAAAGAGAAACAUAUGACAAUGUUCACUCCACUUUUGCCUGAAAGAAAACAAAAUGCAAUAAAGGGUUUAAAUAUUGGAACUGUAAAUAAAGUAUUCUUGGAAUUCCCACAUAGAUGGUGGCAAGAAGAGUGUGCUGGUUUUAAUUUAAUAUGGUCUAAAGAAGAUAAAGAAAAAUUUAUUACAUUAUAUGGACAAGAAUAUGAAUGGUUAUGUGAUGUUUUUGCAUUUAUUUCUGUGGACUAUCAAUCAAGAGUACUAUGUGCAUGGAUCUCUGGUAAAUUUGCAAAACAAAUGGAAUUACUUUCUGAUAUUGAAAUAUCUGAUGGAUUGUACUUAUUACUUGAAAUGUUUUUAAGUAAAAAAUAUAACAUCCCAAAAUUUGAUCAAAUACUUAGAUCAUCAUGGUAUACAGAUGAAUUUUUUCGUGGAUCGUACACUUUUAAAAGUAUAACAACUGAAAAGCUAAAUGUAGAAACAAAAGAUUUAAUUGAUCCUAUUAUAACAGCUAAUGGAAAACCUAUAAUUCUUUUUGCUGGAGAGGCGACGCACGAACAUUAUUAUUCUACUGUACAUGGAGCAGUUGAAACUGGUUUCAGAGAAGCUGAUAGAAUAAUAGAUUUUUAUAGAUGAGAUGUUUUCUGCUACCCGGAUGUUGGCUACCCGAUAUUUAAUACCGAGCAGCAUUUAUCAGGGUGCAACAGAUUUUUUCUUAUUUUCUAUUUUAAAAAAGAGGCUGAUAAAGUCUCUGCUCUAACCAGAGCCAGUUUCUUCAUAACGGAUAAACGGUAAAUUAUAAACUUACUUGAUGCUUCACAUUAUAAAACAUCUUUAUAUGAUAAAUAAGUAUAUAUUUGCAACAUAUUUUUUAAAGUAAUUAUCUCUUUUAUGCGUAAUUAUAUAUUUUUAUUAUU
rnacentral:misc_RNA from 1 species